GUCUAAGGCCAUACCACCCUGAACGUGCCAGAUCUAGUCUGUUCCCAGGAGCUAAGCAGGGUUGGGCCUGGUUAGUACUUGGAUGGGAGACUUAGUACAUUUUAAGUU
rnacentral:rRNA from 1 species